rnacentral:rRNA from 1 species
GUGAGGAAUAUUGGACAAUGGGCGCAAGCCUGAUCCAGCCAUGCCGCGUGAGUGAAGAAGGCCUUAGGGUUGUAAAGCUCUUUCAAUUGUGAAGAUAAUGACGGUAGCAAUAGAAGAAGCUCCGGCUAAAUUCGUGCCAGCAGCCGCGGUAAUACGAAUGGAGCAAGCGUUGUUCGGAAUCACUGGGCUUAAAGCGUGCGCAGGCGGACUUGAAAGUCAGGAGUGAAAUCCCAUGGCUCAACCAUGGAACUGCUUCUGAAACUUCAUGUCUAGAAUCCGAUAGAGGUUAGGAGAAUUCCUAGUGUAGAGGUGAAAUUCGCAGAUAUUAGGAGGAAUACCAGUGGCGUAGGCGCCUAACUGGGUCGGUAUUGACGCUCAUGUACGAAAGCGUGGGGAUCAAACAGGAUUAGAAACCCGAGUAGUCC